CAGUCGCCGCGGGAAUACGAAGGGGGCUAGCGUUGCUCGGAAUGACUGGGCGUAAAGGGCGCGUAGGCGGAUUGUUUAGUUAGGCGUGAAAUUCCUGGGCUUAACCUGGGGACUGCGCUUAAUACAGGCAGUCUAGAGUGAGGAAGAGGGUUGUGGAAUUCCCAGUGUAGAGGUGAAAUUCGUAGAUAUUGGGAAGAACACCAGUGGCGAAGGCGGCUCACUGGACCGCCACUGACGCUGAGGCGCGAAAGCGUGAGGAGCAAACAGGAUUAGAUACCCCCGUAGUCCCUGUCUCUUAUAC
rnacentral:rRNA from 1 species